rnacentral:lncRNA from 1 species
CAGACUUCUCCUAAUCGAUACCCCGUUGGAUCUCGAUAGAACUGAAAGUCUGAAACCCUGGGCGUAGCCUAAAAAAAACGCUGGCUUUCAGUUCCCUGUGCGUCGGCGGCGUGGUGUUGGGGCAGUGGGCAACACGCCAGCAGCGCUGCGGCCGCCGGCCAGAGGGCGGAGGCGACCGGCGUGAGCGGCUGCCGGCUGGGCGCGUAGCGUGCUGCCAUCUCACUCUGCGACUCCGAUCUCCAUUCUCCAUCUCUCUCAACCUACAAGGCUACCACCUGGAGCAAGUACAGUACAUCUAUACAUUAGAAUCUUCCCCUUUGUGAUUUUUGAUUGAAUUGUUGCCUGUGCCCCUGGCCCUUGUGUUGAUCCGAACAUUGAUGUUCAGUUUUCAUCAUUUGUUUUGUAGAAUUUGUUGAGACUUGGGCUGCCACUGUUGAUUGAGAGUUGAGAUAUGAAGAGAGAUAAUCCCAUAGUGUCUCCAUUUCGGAAGCAUGAAGAAGCAAAGGUGCAACAAAUAGGACCGUCGUCAUCACGGUCUGCUAUUUGCUACUGCUCUAGUAGAAGGGCAC